GGCGAACGGGUGAGUAAUACAUCGGAACGUGCCCAGUCGUGGGGGAGUAACUACUCGAAAGAGUAGCUAAUACCGCAUACGAUCUGAGGAUGAAAGCGGGGGACCUUCGGGCCUCGCGCGAUUGGAGCGGCCGAUGGCAGAUUAGGUAGUUGGUGGGAUAAAAGCUUACCAAGCCGACGAUCUGUAGCUGGUCUGAGAGGACGACCAACCACACUGGGACUGAGACACGGCCCAGACUCCUACGGGAGGCAGCAGAA
rnacentral:rRNA from 1 species